rnacentral:rRNA from 1 species
CCUACGGGAGGCAGCAGUGAGGAAUAUUGGUCAAUGGCCGGGAGGCUGAACCAGCCAAGUCGCGUGAGGGAAGACGGCCCUACGGGUUGUAAACCUCUUUUGUCAGGGAGCAAGGUGCAGGUCGGGACCUGCUGUGAGAGUACCUGAAGAAAAAGCAUCGGCUAACUCCGUGCCAGCAGCCGCGGUAAUACGGAGGAUGCGAGCGUUAUCCGGAUUUAUUGGGUUUAAAGGGUGGGCAGGCGGAGUCAAAAGUCAGCGGUAAAAUCGCGGGGCUCAACCCCGCUCCGCCGUUGAAACUGUGUGCCUUGAGUGCGCGAAGGGUAGGCGGAAUGCGUGGUGUAGCGGUGAAAUGCAUAGAUAUCACGCAGAACUCCGAUCGCGAAGGCAGCCUACCGGCGCGCAACUGACGCUCAUGCACGAAAGCGUGGGUAUCGAACAGGAUUAGAUACCCCAGUAGUC